AAAAGGACAGAAGGCAUGUCUUUUUAUUUUUUGGUUUCUGGUUUUGGAAAACGCCCUACUGAUUGUAAAUUCAGUCAGUGCAUUUUCUGGGUGUCUGAAAUAGUGAACUUUGCGCUUUUCAGGUGCACAUUUUUCUACCAGAGACUUGACCACGGUAUCUUUGGUAGUUUUUAGCGUUCGAUUUUUAUUGUAACAUGUUGUAUUGUUGAAAUGUAUUUUUCGUUCCUGUUCGGUGCCGAAAGGCUGUUAGAGAAUACAGAUACUUGGUAAUUGAUAUGGGUGUCGUAGUGAGAUAAGAUAGAAAAAAUGUAAAAUGGUGUAAAGAAGUGGGUGUUUGGGAGAUGUCUGUUUGAAAAACUGCGUUGUGUUGUUUGGAAGUGUUUCAUGGAACCAGGUAAUUGAUAUGGGUGUCGUAGUGAGAUAAGAUAUAAAAAAUGUAAAAUGGUGUAAAGAAGUGGGUGUUUGGGAGAUGUCUGUUUAAAAAACUGCGUUGUGUUGUUUGGAAGUAUUUCAUGGAACCAGGUUUUGGGCAAAGCUCUACUCCUGCUUCUGGGUCUUUUGACAAGACUAGGGUAUUGGAUGUGAGACCAUUGCGAUGCCUUGUACCUAUGUUCCCAUCGCAGCCUGGCUCGUCGACAUUUUCCCCUCAUUCUUCCCCUUUUGUAUCUGUUUCUCCCUCAGGUCCUUUUCCACCUGGGUUUGCCCCAUUUUACCCAUUUUCUGCACCACCAGAGUCUCAAAGGCCACCAGAGCAGAGUCCACGAACCCCGAUUGCUGUGCCCAAUCAAGCUGGCCAUUUUGGCAUAAACAAUCCGAUUUCAACGGCGGUUCCAAUAACUUCAUUUAGAACACCACCACAACCAUCCCAUCCAUCACCAGAUGCAACUCGGCACCCAGGGGCCGCAAACGGUGAUGCAGGUCCACCUAGAAGGAGUUCUAGAAAUCGUACAGUAGAUAAUCAAUCUCAGUCACAGAGUGCAGCAGCAGAAGAUGGGUACAGUGACAGUCAAAAUCAGAUUGCUCAAUAUGUAAGCACCUUCAGUAUGCAUGUAACUGAUACAGAAGAUACAACUAACGUAGACGUGCAAAAGGGUAAGUCCCAAAAGAGGACAAGGAGCAGUCAAAGGGUCAAUUUAUCCUCUCCUGAUGUUGAUGUGGAUUCAGUUGUUAAUAAUCUUCUCACAACAUAUAAUCUUAUGGCAAUUGAUUCGUUCCGGAGAGCUGAUGGUGACAAGGAGUGUGUUGGGUUUAUUCUCAUGUUAUAUGAUUCGCUCCGGAGAAAGAUUAGCCAAAUUGAGGAAGUAAAAAAGGCUACUCCCGGGGUAACAAGACGCCCUGACUUAAGAGCUGGUACACUGUUGAUGAACAAAGGGUUUCGGACUAACACCAACAAGAGAGUGGGGGCUGUACCUGGUGUUGAAGUUGGUGAUAUUUUCUUUUUCAGAAUGGAGAUGUGUUUGGUAGGAUUACAUGCACCAAGCAUGGCUGGGAUUGAUUACAUGGGUGUUAAGAUCACUCAAGAAGAAGAACCACUCGCUGUCAGCAUCGUUUCUUCUGGAGGAUAUGAGGAUAAUGUUGAGGAUGGGGAUGUGUUGGUAUACAGUGGUCAAGGUGGGAAUGUUUAUGGGAGGGAUAAGCAGAUAGAGGAUCAGAAGCUUGAAAGGGGUAAUCUAGCUUUGGAGAAAAGCUUGCAUCGGGCUAAUGAGGUAAGAGUCAUUCGGGGUCUGAGGGAUGUGGCAAAUGCAACUGGGAAGGUUUAUGUCUAUGAUGGUCUUUAUACAAUCCAACGUUCAUGGGUGGAGAAAGGGAGAUCAGGUUGCAGUGUCUUCAAAUACAAAUUGAUAAGAGUGCCUGGUCAGCCUGAAGCAUUUGCAAUGUGGAAAUCAAUUCAACAAUGGAAGGAAGGUCUUACUUCUAGGGUUGGGGUUAUCCUGCCGGACCUUACUUCAGGAGCAGAAUAUUUGCCAGUUUGUUUGGUAAAUGAUGUUGAUGAUGAAAAAGGACCUGCUUAUUUCACUUAUUUUUCUACUCUCAAAUAUUCAGAACCAUUUAGUUCAUUAAAACCUUCAUCUAGCUGUAGUUGCCAAGGUGGUUGCCUUCCUGGUAACUUCAACUGCUCUUGCAUUAAAAGAAAUGAAGGCUAUCUUCCUUAUAGUGCAAAUACAGUUCUUGUGGACAACAAAUCCUUGAUGCAUGAAUGUGGUCCUGCCUGUUCAUGCCCCCCUACUUGCCGGAACCGAGUGUCACAAGCUGGUUUGAAAGCCCGCUUAGAGGUGUUCAAAACUAAGGAGAAAGGUUGGGGUUUAAGGUCCUGGGAUCCUAUUCGGGCAGGAGCCUUUAUUUGUGAAUAUGCUGGGGAAGUCAUUGAUAAUUCGAAGAUGCAGGAGGUUAGGAACAAAAAUGAAGAUGACUACAUUUUCGAUGCUACCCGCACUUACCAGCCACUGGAAAUUAUGCCUGGUGAUUCUAAAGGGGCUCAAAAGAUCCCAUUUCCCUUAAUUAUAACUGCAAAAAACAUGGGGAAUGUAGCUCGCUUUAUGAACCACAGUUGCUCUCCAACUGUAUUCUGGCAUCCAGUUUUACGUGGAAAUAGCAGUGAGUCUGAUCUCCAUGUUGUGUUUCAUGCAAUCAAACAUAUUCCUCCUAUGACAGAGUUAACAUAUGAUUAUGGGAUAAUUGAGUCCAGCACUGCAGAACAGAGGAAGAAAAAAUGUCUUUGUGGAUCUUUGAAAUGCAGAGGUUAUUUUUAUUAGUGGCUUUUGUUUUGAUUUGUGAAAUUUGGAGAUCCUUUCUAAUCCACUCUUCUGAAAAAAGUGAUUCUUGGAUGGAGGCUGGUGCAGUGGUGCUUUCAGACAUUGUAGUUAAUUCAAAGCAUUUGAAUACAUGUGGUUGUGUACAUCAGAUGGAGAACUUUGGACUUGGGCUUCCAUUACUUGCAAAUAAUAAAAGGCUAAUCGCCCAGAAUUCUUAAUCCGGACAGUGUAGUAUGGCCUUGUUUUAGAAAGAGUUGAUUUAUCUGCUUUUCAUUUCAUCCUUGCGGCUUUCAUCAGUCUACAAUUUCCCCGCAAUCUACGUGAGGUUGAAAUCGCCACCAGCGGUUCUGAACACAUUUUGCCUAAUGCCUCGGGUGUGAUGGGUGUGCUUGGUUCAUAGGUACACUCCAAGCAAAUCUAAAAUAGAAUUAGUCUACUUGUGAGUGUAGUUCGUGGGGCUUUAAUUCCAGAUUUUACUUUUCCGCUUGUCAUUGUAACGGCCUUUUCAAUUUGUAACAAUGGUCUUUUGUCAGACUGCUCCUCUAUUUAUUUCAGCUUCCUUUAUGUCCUCGCCCAA